GAGGGCUGUGAUGGUUGGCAGCAGCACCAGAGCUGCCAAUCAGUUUUGGAAGGCCAAGGAACUGCUCUCCAGGUGGGAUUCCUGAGGGAGGGGCUUUAGAAGGGAGCAGAGAGUGGCAGUUAAACUGUCUUACUGGUAGCUCUGAGAGUCAGAGGGGGGCUGAAAGAGCCAGCGUUAGACAGGGCUUAGAGAAGCCAGGAGUUAGGGCUUUCUCAGAUAGGGCUAGAGAAGCCCGGAGAAAGGGACGGACAGGGCUAGAGAGAGGAUCUCUAGGGAGAUCGUGUCUGUUCUGGGACUGGUGGGUUCCAGGGAGGGACUGGAUAGAACAGGAUUGGUGUCUAUAGGUGAUAGUGAUGUGAAUUCGGUUCGUCCCUGGGUCUGCCUUUUAGCCAAUCAAACAGACACAGUGGGAAUCAUCUUAGAGGCAUUUAUUGCACUGCAGUUGCAACAGAGUCCAAUGAAGUUUCUUUGAACUAUAAAGUUUUCUCCUCCUUGGUAUGUAUGGAAAUUGGUCGUCAUCUAUCAAAUAGAUAAUAACCCUUUGGUUAACAGUAGCAAGCAUGUCUUGUCCCCUUAGCUAAGCAGGGUCCAGGCAGGAAACUUGUGUGAUUUCCACAACCUGCUGGCCAGCUCUUGCAUUUCAUGAAUAACCAACCCCUUUCCAUUAGUAUUUUCUGGCAGAUGGUGAAAAGGAUGGGUUAUUCACAUAAAGCAAGAGCUGGCCAGCAGGUGGCGCUGUAGAAAACAUGAGAGGUCCCUGCUGGCCAUUUAUGAGAAAGAAGACACAAGCCUGUGAGACCUUACUUCCACAAACUGGAAGCAAGACCUUAGUCUUCACACACUUAGUGAAGACUAAGGUAUUGCUUCCAGUUUGUGCACAAACUUUUCAUGUUGCACAUUCUUUGCCAUAUGGAAGGAACUUGAGAGGAACCCUGUACUCCUUAAAGGGGAGCAGCCUGGAAACUGUGUACUGCCCUGCGCUCCUUAGAUGGGGGCAGGGAAUUUUAAAAACCCCAUAAAUAAAAUAAGCUAGAAGACAGUUUGCUGUCCUACAUGACUUAUGGCAGUUCCUCCUGUAACCUUAAGGCAGAAGUGGCUUGCCCUGACGAGUUGGGGUGUGUGUAUUCCAAAGGAGACACAGCUGCAGGCUGACCAUUCAUCCAGUAGAGCCAUGCAAGCUGGUUAAUCAUUGACCAAACAGAGCUCCAAGAACAAGAGGCAGCUGUGCUCCCUUUGGUGAUCCCCCAGCUCAUUCAGAUGAGCUGCUCCUGCCUUAAGCACCCCUCCUCACAUUUCUGGCUAUGAGGCUGGCAUGCACAGUCCUGGUCUGAGCUGAUGUUUUUGUGUUGAACUAUGCUGCAGUUGGAAAUGGAGUAAUCUGAAGCAACACUGGGAUUUCUUUGGCUGGAAGGGUGGGUCAGGUGUUAACAAGGUCAGCAUGUUUCUCUAGAGCAACUGAGCUGACUCUUUCACACCACGGAAAGACCCACCUUGACAUAAAGAAGCAUGGACGUCCACCUCUGAAGCCAUUGGCAUCAAAUAACCUGUGUACUGUCACCUGGAACGUGCUAGCCGCAGGGUUUUCACAAGCCCACAAAACACACGAAUGAACAAGAGAGUCUUCCAGCACUAGAGUCCUGAUUAGGGGAGUCAGAAAAAGAGCCGCUUGUUGGCAGCACUAGCCUGGCACUUGGAGGAUGCUGACGUCCACUAAGCUGUGGUCUGUUUCCAGCAGGCUCCUUUGUAGGCCUGCAGGAGUUCAGCACAGGUUAAAAGCCUGUGUGGUUUUGGCAAGAAGCUUAUUUCUAAACCAGCCUCUAAUGCUAAAACAACAUGCUUCGAAAUAGACGAUUGGCCUUUUGAUGUUGCAUUCAUCGAAAGAUGCUAAAUAAAUCUUCAAAGCCCACAACAUGUGUACAGUGGAUAUCUAUACACCCAUGGAAUCUGGGUGCUGCCAAAGUGCAUUUGAAAGUUGCUGCACAUGAAUUAAAACUCCAUGUGUGUUCGUGAAGAACAGGCAGGGUGUGGGUCCCACCUGAGGUGGCGGUGGGUGGGCAUCGCAUGCCACAUAUUCCUCUGCUGCCUUCCCCAAUGUGAGCAGCUGACUCCUUGACCUCUUUUGAUGGCCAGGGAAGAACCUUCAAGAUGCGACUGGCUCCUUAAGAACAACCAGAAUCUCUUUUACUGGUUGCUCUCUAUACUAAAAUUAAUAUUCUGUAACUAGGCAAUCUAUCUAGGAAGCCAGCAUGGUGUAGUGGUUAGAGUAGGAGGCUAUUCUCAUGGUCAUACAAAAUCGGGCUAAGGGAGCCAAGGCUGAUUUUGUAUGCCUGUGAGAACCAACGGGCUCGCAGCCGAGUUCAGUCUCACAAAAGCAGGUCGCCCGCUAAAACAACCCUCCCCUAAGCCCAGGUUAACGGAACGAGUGCUCUGCUAACCUGGGCUUUUCGAUUGUGAGUUUCUGCAGCACGGCUCCACACCGUGGCAACUCACGGGUAGACCCCAGAACAGAAGGCUGAAAAGCAGCCUCCCUGCUCAGGGGUCUCUCCAGCAUGCCCUGUGUGCUUGAGCAGGGCAUGCUGGAGCUUUCGGGGGCCACAUGGCCCCCAAUCCUCCCAGCUGGCGGCGGCUCCAUAAUGGAUCCAGCAGUCAUCAAAGCAGACUGACUGCCAUCCGCGGGGAGAGAGGGCUUAGCCCACUCUCCCCGGAAACCCCAUCCAGGCUCUUCUCACAGAUUGUGAGAAGAGCCUCUUGGACUGCUCUUUUGGGACUACAGCUCCCAGCAUCCCCAGCCACAGUGGACUAUAGUCAGGGACGAUAGGAGCUGUAGGCCAAUAUCUGCAGAAGGGCCAAAGUUGAGCCACCCUGAGUUAGAGUAUUGGACUAGGACGAGUGCAAGGAUAUCCAAGUUUGGAUCCCCAUUCAGCCAUGACACUCACUGGGUGACUUUAGGUCAGUCACAUCCCUCAGCCUAAUUGACCUCCCAGGGUUAUUGGGAAGUGUACAUACAUAACUAUGUACAUUGCUCUGGGGCCUUGGAGGAAGAGUGGGAUAUACAUUUUUCCAAUAACUAAAUAAAUCCUGCCUAAGAAAAGCUUAAUGAUGCAAAUUAGACACAUGUGCAUAAUUUCUCAUAGCCUGAAUAAUUUAUUCUGCACGUUUGAUAUUUUGCAUGACUUGUUCUGGCUUUGCUAGACUCAGAAACCCCACUCCAUUCCUGAAAAUAUUCAGUCUGGCAUCUGAGAUUUCCAGCGGGUGUUUCCUCCUACACUUUCAAACAUAUCUUCACAGCCAUAAGUGCCAGAAAGUUGCUUUUUCAAUAACAAUGUAAGCUGAGAUUCUCAGGAAGCUGCAGAAUUUUGUGCCUGCAUUGUGCACUUUUCCUGUGCUGUUACACUGCUGUGGCACACACAGAGACUCAGCUCUAACUCUGCAUGAAGAGGUGAAAGUUGGUCUUGGUGAACUCCUGAUGGAUGGUGUCAAGUAAUGUAUCAGAAUCCUGUGUCAGUUCUGGCAAGAUGGGUUGCCCAGUGAGGAAAUUCUGCUCUGGUGUGUAUGUGAAGCUGAAAGUGCUGGAAUAAAUGAGACCAUCAUUUCUUAGCAGCAAGAGAGGGACAGUGAUAGGGUAUCUCAGCCACCUCCAGUCAUGGCUAAAUGCAGAGACAUCAGGAACGACACACACAAGGGACUUGGAACUCCUAGGGGGGAAAGAUUGUCUCUCUGCUUUACCUGUACAUAGUUUCAGCUUCUACGUCGCCAAACCAAACCUUCAGGUUUGCAUGAAAGUACUCGCCCUGCACUUCUAGCAUUGCCACGUCUCCACCACCCGUCAGCUGUGAGAAGCAGACCCAAUCACAUGGGAGAGGAAGGAUUACACAUAUUACACCAUGAAGAGGCCCUCUUUCAUGUUCCCACUCUAUCUGAGGUGUGGCAGGUAUCCAUACGGAACAGGGCCUUCUUGGCAGUGGCACCCAAAUUAUGGAACUGUCUCCCUAAUGAGGUACUACCAAGGCUCUAUUAUGUAGGCAAGCUUUUCUAGACCUUUUAAGUGGCCUCAUGCGAAUGUAUUUUGUUUUGUUUAUGUGUGUAAUAUACUGCCAAUUUAUAUUUGUGUGUGUAUGUGUAUGUAUUUCUGUUUUGUUAAGCAACACUAAAUUUAUACUAUUAUUUCUGUUAUUUGUGAUUAACAGCAUCAUCCCGGGAUCCAGAUAACAUUUGUAUGGAGUUUUGUAGGCAGCUUUAAAAAUUAGCGGUCUCUA